CAGAAAUCUCGUCCUCGAGAUUUGUAAGAGAAAAAGGAUGUAGAAGGAUUGGUUUGUAAUUCAGCUUUUAGUUUCUAAUUGGUUCCAAAAUAAAGAAUUUUUUUAUAGGUAUGGGUAUAUAUAUAUAUAUACAACCAUCCAAUGUGUAAAAAAUGUUUUUAAAGCAUGGAUAGGCUUGGGUAGGACAUAGUAGGGUAAGGAAAGACUCCAUCCAAGACUUGUGGAUCCUGAUUCCUUUGAAGAUCUAGCUUAAAUCCUAUCCUUCCUUGAUUUGAUGAGGUCGAUCAUCUUCGAUCUUCGGCCUUGGAAUCGUCACCCAAGUUGGGGACAUAUAGUUAAGAUGGCUUGUAGGUAGGGACAAAUGGUUAGUGGAUAGGUCGCAUAAAAUGAGUGUUGACCUGGCAUAAUCUAGCUUCCUUUGGGGUCUAGCUUGAUUCCUAUUCUUUAAUGAGAUUGAUCUCUUCCUUCUUGAGCUUUGAUGUAUCCAUCCGAGUUUGGGACAAAAGGUCAAGAUAGAUCUAUAGGUAACAGAUGGGUAGAGGGUUUAGUAGGUAGCUAUAUGCUAGAUGGGAUUAGUUAUGUAACCUGUUAUGUAGGUCAAGUUGUUGAGUAUGGCCAAGUUGAUUUAAGUCACCAAUUUAGUCUUAAGUGAAUUACGAGUAUGGCCAUAUCUUUUUUUACCAGCAUUAAGAAUCACCCACUAGGUUAAAUCAUAUUAGAUUAGAUAGGGUCUAGAUUAGAUUGGGUAUGACUAGAUUAGACUAGUUUAGGCUAGAUAGAUCUACUAAGGUAGGAUAAAUAUUAUUAGGAUAUGUUAGAAUUUUUUUUGAGAUAGGAUGGAUCUAUUAAGCUAGAUAUAUUUUAAUUAGGAUAAGUUAGGAUCUUUUGGGAUGAGAUGGAUCUAUGAGUGUAUGAUAGAAUCUUUUAUGAUGAGAUGGA